AAUAUGCUAUGCAAUGCUUAGUCAUUCUGCUAAUGGAACUAAUAUUUCUCCACUGUGCCUCUCAUUCUACUCUCUCACCAUUUGCCUCUCUUUAUUUAUUUCUAUAAUUCUUCCUGUGUUUCCUAUCACAGGAAGAAGGGAGUGCUCAACUUGGCGAGGGGAACUGAGGAGGGCUGCAGUAUCUUUAAAGAUGUGGAAACUGAGAUAACAGUUAAGUGAGCUGCCCAUGGCUAUGUGACUAUAAGUAUUAGAGCACAGAUUCAAAUUUGUCCUGCUUCAAAGUCAAAAGUUCUUCCAGAAAGGGAACACAGACUUCCACCUGGAAUAGAAGAAGUGUUCCAUUAAAAGAGGACCCUACUGCCAUAGAAAACCCUGGAUCUAUGAAGACAUCAAAGACAGAGACCUAAUUUUUCCUCUCAAAAAAUGAACCUUGAUUUCCAUUCAAUAUUGAAUUUGAUGUUUAAAAAUUCUGAAGUAUGUCAGAGCUGAAGUUUAUCUAUGCUAUUUUGUACUGGAUACAUCUACUAGUGUGACAAAUUAGAUGUUUUCCCAGAGUAGCAGUUGUCUGAAUUCAUCUGCAGGAAGGAUACAUACAGGUACGUUUUCAGAAUAUUGUCAGAGUGGUCUUAGCUUCUCAAAGCAGCUUCUCCUAUACCAUUUUGUUAGGGGAAGCACAUUGACUGAAACUGCCCACCCUGGCCAGGCACCAUAGUAACUAUUUGCAUGAGUCAUUUUACAACAGGAGGUCCUGGUGAGGAACACAGAACUAAUAAGCUACCACCAACCAGAAGAGUUCGGGAAAGGUCAAAAGGAGACACCACAUGUCUGACCACCUCCCAGAAUCCUCCCUGGCAUCCAUCUUGGCUGAACAAGGUGUGCACCACCAGGAAGGACCCUGAGUGGGAAUGAUUGGCUAAAGACAACCCGGAAACUAAUCCCAUCACCAUAAAACCUACAAGCUGUGUGGCAGAGCUGUUCUCCUGGGUUCCCUUACCCUACUGCUCUCCACCCAGGUGCCCCUUCCCAAUAAAAUCUCUUGCUUUGUCAGC
ensembl:lncRNA